rnacentral:lncRNA from 1 species
GGCGAGGAAGGAGGUCGUGUGGUGAGCGGCAAGGAGGGAGGAGGAGAAGAGGAAGGGUCGCGAGCGGCGAUGAGGAGGAGUAAAGGAGCUAGGGUUUCUGAGAAACUCAAAAGUAAUUAAAAAAGUGGGGGUCUAUGGGUACCUAUUUUGGGGGGAGGGAAAGUGACGGACAGAUGGGGGGAAAUGGACGAUUGUGGGAGGGAAAGGAAAAAAAAUAAAUUUGGGUGGGGGGAGUGGACGAUGGUGGGGACUGGGGAGGGAAAGGAAAAUAAAUUUGGGGAUGGGGGAAAUAGAUAAGCAAAAGAAGAGAGUUGGGUGGACUCUAAUGGGAAUUUUUUU